rnacentral:rRNA from 1 species
UACGUAGGGGGCAAGCGUUAUCCGGAUUUACUGGGUGUAAAGGGAGCGUAGACGGUAUGGUAAGUCUGAUGUGAAAGCCCGAGGCUCAACCUCGGGACUGCAUUGGAAACUGCCGUACUAGAGUGCAGGAGAGGUAAGUUGAAUUCCUAGUGUAGCGGUGAAAUGCGUAGAUAUUAGGAGGAACACCAGUGGCGAAGGCGACUUACUGGACUGUAACUGACGUUGAGGCUCGAAAGCGUGGGGAGCAAACAGG